CCCCCUCACUCAUUCUGUCCUGCAGGCACUAUGGUUCCAUUGCUCUGUCCCAAUGGCACCUUCACGCCUCCUGACCAUGGUGGGCUGCAGGAUGAGCGGGAGUGUUUGCCCUGCCCCUCAGGCAGAUACUGCAGGUAUAUUAUCUGAACACCUUUAGGCAUUUAAGAAAAAAGUCUUCAACACAGUUCAACCACACCUGUUUCAAUUGAAACAAGCAUUGCCAAUAUAUUCAUAUUCAGAAUAAAAAUGUCUCUUGUGUAACCUCAAAUGUAUACAUUGUCAUUGUAGGUCUGGUAAGAUCCAAGGUAACUGUGCUGCAGGUUACCUGUGCAUUUCAGGAAGUCCAGAACCCACCCCACAAGCAUCUAACGAGAUGACUAAUGGGACCCUAUGUCAGUGGGGUGUGCAGUGUGCUGGCCUCUGUCCUGCAGGGUUCUACUGUGCAGAAGGAACAGAGAAAGCCAAGCCAUGUCCUGAGAACACCUUGCGUAGUUUGGCUGGAGCGGGCAGUGAAAGUGACUGUUUGCCCUGCCCACCCAAAUACUGGUGCAGACUGGGUCACCCAAUCCCGAAUAUGUGCCCAGUGGGUCACUAUUGUGAUGGCAUUGCUGACACAGCUUCUGAUGGCCCGCCUGGUCCCAAAAAAUGCCCACCCUUCACCUACCGGCCCCUGCCUGGUGCAGGAAACAAAGGAGAAUGUCUCCGCUGCCCCUCAGGCACAUAUUGUAACUCCACAGGUUAGAAUCAGAGUUCUCUGUACACGUUUCCUUAUUUUAGUUCAAGAACAUCUCUAUCUACAAACAAUUAUACAGAGAUCUGAUGCUGAGUUGUGUAUUCUGCACAGAUGA
rnacentral:lncRNA from 1 species